rnacentral:lncRNA from 1 species
CUUUGUUGUUUUAUUUUUCAAGAAAACAAAAGUUCUUCCUCAUCCUGAAGCUUCUCACAAGAGACAUAUUAGUUAAUACUUCAGUUUCUUUUCUUUUGGGUAUCUUCAAAUUUCUCUAUUUUAUCGUUUAUAUUUAUUUUAUGGAUAUGAUUUUUCUUAUGGAACGUGAUUCUGAAUUUCCCAGCGUAUUUGUGUGUGUACAAAAUUAUGAAUCUUGGAUGAUUAUUGAAUAUUAUACUGUUGAUAUUUAUGCGUGUGGGUUACUUUAUUUUUUCUUGCUGAGAAGAUUAUUUUUUGAUUUGAUUUUAUUGCAUUCUUCCUUUUUUUUUUCUGCCAAUCUCAAGCUUUUUGUUUUUUAUUGAUUUCUUGUAAAUUUUCUUUAUGGGUAUCGUUUUCUUUUGAUGUGAUUGCGAAUUUAAACAUGUCUACUGUAUCUGAGAGUUUGUGUGCUAAAAAAAUUAUGAACCUCUAUUGACCAUGAACAUUACGCUGCUGAGAUUUAUGUACGAGGGUUAUUUUAGUUUGUUAUUGAAGAAAACGAACAGGUUUUGAUAGUUUUUAUUGCUGAUAUGUGAAUAUUGGUGCUUAUUUUUGUGGGUUUUGCGUUUGAUUUUACAUGGAGAGUUUCUGAUAUGUAAAUGUCCGUGCAUUAUUAUAAAUUCAUGGUUUGAGAUUUUUGUUAGUAUUCUCGAUCUGUCAUUUUUUUUUGAAUAAAUAUCUUUGUGAUUGAAAUUUUAUUAUCUGCAUUUCUUGGUUUAUGAGUUCCGUAUUUCCCCGAAAUCUGUUUUGAUGUUGCCUUGAGAAUUAACUUAUUCUAAGAUUAUUCUGUGUGUAUGUAUGUAGCCUUUGUAGUAAGUAUUUUUUUUUUCAUUCCAAAAGGCUAGCUAUUUGGUUUCUGAUAUUUCUUUGUGCAAAUAUUAAUUUGUGGUUUCCAAUUUUUUCUCUUCAGAAUAGGUUUAGGUUGAAUCUUAUACAAAUUUGGGCUGAAGAAGUGAUAAACAUGUCUUGGGCUUCUCGUUAUUGUGGAAAGUGUGUGCGAUUGGUAGCAUUCUUUUGGGUUAUCCUGUAAUUUGANAUUCUGAAAAGUGCAUUUACCCAAGAGAAAGAUUACGAUUUCCAACAGUAGAUACGCAUUUUGUCAAACUUACCUAUUUUUUUCUUCACGCGUGCUCUCUCAUUCAACGGCCAAGAGCUCAUCCGCAUUUCCCGGAAAGUGUCCUCGUAUCCCCAAUCCAACGGUUCUAAUUCCCCGCCUUUGACUACCCGCACAUUUCCCCCGAUUAUCCCACGGGGUUACUGCGUUAAAUCGACUCUACCAUUUAAUUCACCCUCUUUGUUGUUUUAUUUUUCAAGAAAACUAAAGUUCUUCCUUAUCCUGAAGCUUCUCACAAGAGACAUAUUGGUUAAUACUUCAGUUUCUUUUCUUUUGGGUAUCUUCAAAUUUCUCUAUUUUAUCGUUUAUAUUUAUUUUUUGGAUAUGAUUUUUCUUAUGGAGCGUGAUUCUGAAUUUCCCAGCGUAUUUGUGUGUACAAAAUUAUGAAUCUUGGAUGACUAUUGAAUAUUAUACUGCUGAUAAUUAUGCGUGUGGGGUUACUCUAUUUUUUCUUGCUGAGAAGAUUAUUUUUUGAUGUGAUUUUAUUGCAUUCUUCCUUUUUUUUUUUCUGCCAAUCUCAAGCUUUUUGUUUUUAUUGAUUUCUUGUAAAUUUUCUCUAUGGGUAUUGUUUUCUUUUGAUGUGAUUGCGAAUUUAAACAUGUCUACUGUAUCUGAGAGUUUGUGUGCUAAAAAAAUUAUGAACCUCUAUUGACCAUGAACAUUACGCUGCUGAGAUUUAUGUACGAGGGUUAUUUUAGUUUGUUGUUGAAGAAAAGGAACAGGUUUUGAUAGUUUUUAUUGCUGAUAUGUGAAUAUUGGUGCUUAUUUUUGUGGGUUUUGCUUUUGAUUUUACAUGGAGAGUUUCUGAUAUGUAAAUGUCCGUGCAUUAUUAUAAAUUUAUAGUUUGAGAUUUUUGUUAGUAUUCUCGAUCCGUCAUUUUUUUUUUGACUAAAUAUCUUUGUGAAUUUAUAUUGAAAUUUUAUUACCUGCAUUUCUUGGUUUAUGAGUUUCCUUAUUUCCCCUAAAUCUGUUUUGAUGUUGCCUUGAGAAUUAACUUAUUCUAAGAUUAUUCUGUGUGUAUAUAUAGCCUUUGUAGUAUUUUUUUUUCCUCCAAAAGGCUAGCUAUUUGGUUUCUGAUAUUUCUUUGUGCAAAUAUUAAUUUGUGGUUUCCAAUUUUUUCUCUUCAGAAUAGGUUUAGGUUGAAUCUUAUACAAAUUUGGGCUGAAGAAGUGGAUAAACAUGCCUUGGGCUUCUCGUUAUUGUGGAAAGUGUGUGCGAUUGGUAGCAUUCUUUUGGGUUAUCCUGUAAUUUGAUUUCAUUUGGUGAGAUUUCUCCCUCCUUAUCUCUCUAUAUGUAAAUCACUCUUUCUGUGUAUGAAUGUUUAUAUCACUAUUCAUUUGCGUAUUUUCUUGGAAAAAUUUGGAUAUUGAUAAUAACAACAUAUUUUCCAUACAAAAUCCUUUGUAACUACUCACCAACUACAAACUAACGUUAUUCUAAUGAAAAAAUGUUUCAAGAGUUAGGUAAAGACACAAGUUUGUGCAAGAUUACACGCUCAUGUAUAGUUGUGUGCAUGUAUUUAGAUUUUGUAUUCAUUAAAGAUUAAUUGAAAUUUGGAGGAAAUUGUUUCCAAAUUCAAUUCCAAGGCUCCAAUUUCAUGCUUCUGAAUGUAAGCUGACAAUUUUUGGGAAAUUAGGAAAAAAAAAUAAAUAAAUAAAAUUUUCAUUGUGAUUGAGUUGAAGUCCUACAACAUGAUAUUUUAUGUUGAAAUAAAUUCCUAUUUGAUUUUUUGCAUUAACUGGAGGCUGGAUUUUAAAAUUCUAUGUUUUUUCCCCUUUUAUUGUCUCAAAAACUAUUCUAAGAUUGGGAACAUUUUGCAGGUGCAUCUUGUCCAGUGGUGAAAUUUCCAUUGAUUUAUUUCGUGUUUUUACCUAAAAUUGGAAGGAGUAGCAAGAAUGUACAUUGCAAUUUCCCAAAAGAAACAUCGUAAAGUAAAGGAAGUUGGAAAAUUUGAAAUGACUGUUGGAACUAUUGCUUUCUACCAAUUGAUGCAAGUUUGUCAGGUGAGUGUGCUUCUUGUUUGCAGUAAUUAUGUUGUACAAGUAGCUUGCUUUAAUCUUCAGUCUGAUAUCUAAUAUAUGAUGCACCGACACGAUACGUGUCGGAUAUGUCGAUUCGUCAUUUUUCAAAAAAGUACCGACACGACACGUCGUCAUCACGUUGAUUAAAUUCUUUAAAAAUUUUCAUUUAUAUAGUAUAAAUUUAAUUUUAUACUUAUUAUUGAUUUUUCUUGUUGAAAUCUUUUAAAUAUGAGUGUUUAUUUGUUAUUUACUAAUAAUUUUGAGUUAAAAAUAUAUAAUAGCUACAGUAAGAAAGAAAAAUGAUUAUUGUAAAGUGUCCGAAAAGUGUCGGUAUCGACACGUGUCGGACACAAAUACGCUACUCUAGUUAGAGUAUUCGUGCUAUAGAGUAUCUAAUUAAUAUCAAUAAUGCUGAACUUAUCUCAAUUCAUUUUGCCCCUUUUAUUUAUUUAUUUAUUUAUUUAUUUAUUUAUUUUUAACUCAGAUUCUUUCUUCUAUAAAUUUGGAAAUUUGAUUUAUUUUCUUUUUUCAUAAGCUAUAUUAUAUCAGAUUUUGUGGACGGAUUCAUGGGGCAGUGUGUAUCUCUCUUAUUUGGCUGUUUUAGUUUCAAGUUAAUAGUGGUUAGCUAGUUCAUUGACUUAUUUUGCUUUACAGGCUGAAUAUUUCCGUCAGUUGCUUAAACCUGUUACGUAGUCCUGUACGGUGAUAAGCUUGUAAGACUGGGAUUGGUAGCCUUUUCCUUUCUCUGUGUUGAAAUUUUUUGAAGUGGCAUUGUAUACGCCUUAGGUGUACCACAAACGUCUUUUUUGUUAGUUUAUUCCCCUAAAACUUUUGGCAAUUUGAAAUCGAAGAGAACCCUUUUGAAAGCUGCAGAUUUGUGUAUCAGUGAAGUUGUUUACUGUUCCAAAUGCAUAGUGACCGAAAAUAUUUCCCUCAAAAUCCUGUCCUUCCUCAUCCCAAUCAAGUGGGCAGUUACUACAUGAGCAAAGCUCCUAUUCAAUCCAUUUUUGGUGGAACAGUUCUGCCCUCGGGUAUAAAACCUUCUAGGCUGUUCCAUGGUGUUGACUUUCUGACCUCUGAUGCAUGCCCGAGGAAUUUCGUAAUCUUUGACAAAACAAAAAAUAGAAGCCAAAUCAUGUUCCAUCCCGAGAUUGGUUCUAAGUUUCCUCAUCCUGAUUUUGGUGUUGGCAUGUCUAACUGCCUAGACAAUAUUGGUUGGAAGGACAAGAAGGAAGACAGAGAAAGAACUUCUUUCACAGAAGAUUCAUAUGAUAUUGAUGCUCUAUUGAGCACAGAAUAUGAACAUGAGGAGUAUGAUGGAGAUAAGCUGAGCACAGGACGAACCGAUGCAAACUAUGGAAGCGAAUCCUCAGAUUCAUGUUCUAAUUACGAAUCUCCGUCUAGAAAGAGGAGGUCACCUCCUUCCAAGAAGUCUUCUAAGGACAAGAAACGCCAGAAAAUGAGGAAAAUGGUGAAGGCAUUAAGAGGUAUUGUUCCGGGUGCCAACCAGAUGAGUACUGUAGCUGUUCUUGAUGAN